UGGUUCUGGCAUCGAUGAAGAACGCAGCGAAAUGCGAUAAGUAGUGUGAAUUGCAGAAUUCAGUGAAUCAUCGAAUCUUUGAACGCACAUUGCGCCCUUUGGUAUUCCUUAGGGCAUGCCUGUUCGAGCGUCAUCUAACCCCUCAAGCAUCGCUUGGUGUUGGGCGCCUGUCCCGCCUCCGCGCGCGGACUCGCCUCGAAGACAUUGGCGGCCCGUGUAUUGGCCAUGAGCGCAGCAGACCCGCGCCUCAUCGCCUCUCGCGCGGGCGUCCCAGGAAGCGAACCCCCCCAAUUUUGACCUCGGAUCAGGUAGGGAUACCCGCUGA
rnacentral:misc_RNA from 1 species